AAAAAUAUUCUACUUGGCACCUGUAUAUAUAUAUAUAUAUGUGUGUUAAUCAAAGGGAAAAUGUUCCGGAAAAUUGUCUGGGUAAGGGGUCGGGAAGAAAUUCGGUCCCUUCCGUUCACUCGCUUGGGAAACUAAUACAAUUUGUUACCGCCUCAGAUAGGUGAAAUCAUUAGGGAAAAUUAAGGGUGAGAAUUUAUACCUGAAUUCGGCCAAGCCCCUUAAAGUCAUCAGCAAGUAAAUACCUAAUA